GCUACGUAGCGAAGAGAAAUAGGUCCAUGAGGAAUCACGUUGCUUCUUAGUCAGAUAACAUGCUUCAGACUCAGAUGCGGUUUGGUUUGCUGUUUUUGUUUAAACAAGGCUGCCGUAUCUGAACGGCCAAAAGUUGAACGAUCAGUAAGCGACAGUAAAUGAGGGUUUUUUUUUUAACCUUUUCUUUCCCCCUAGGUUUCAUCUGGAUUUUCGCAGCCUAACUUCUAAAUAAUUAUAUUUAAAUAUUUUAAAUAGCGCUAAUAUGAAAUGGAAGACUCGCUUCUAACAACUUUUAAAAAUACUCUCAAAAGCCAUAGGUUCGAUUCUGUAAGAUAUAAGAUUGUGGUGGACUCUUCAGCUAGACAGAAGGGAGGGAUUAAGAGAGGCCGAAGUGGCUGGGUUGCAGGAAGUGGCGUAGACCAGACCUAGAACCCUUGUGCGUUGCCAGGAAAGUAAUCAGUUAUAAAGGAUUUAACUUUUUCAUCAAAAAUGAAAAAUAAAAUAUUGUUAUAUGCUUUUGGCUACUUUCCUUUGCAACCAGUGGUAAAUUUGGCCAAUAACCAGUGAAGACACAGUGAAGACCUUUUUAUUUAGUUUAUUACAAUAAGUGGGGAAAAGCUAUCUUAACUUAGUUCUCGCCAAAGUUCAUCAUCUCAGAUCAACAUCUUUAUACAUUGCCUACACCGGCACCCAUCCCUCAUUUGCCACUGGAUGAGGUAUUAUGAGGUUACAUUCUCUUCAACAACCUACAGCAGGAGUGUCAAACUGCCAGUCUUUGGGCCGGACGCGUCACGUGGAACCCCUGCCCAUCCCAUUGCCAGCAAUAGCAAAACAAUCUCGAUACGUUGCACGACAUGAUGUCGCAAGUUUGACAUGUCUGGCUUACAGGUUUCCUGAGACCCUCCCUAAACCCUACAUCACAUAUCACAUGUAUAUUAUGUUGGGAGUAAUUCCCCUGCUUAGAUUUUUUCAGCUGGGAUUUCCGCAAUCAGUGCUCAAAGAGUAAAUAGAACGAGAAGCCAGCUACCGGAAAAAGAGGUUUAAUCAUGAGAUCAAAGUUGAGUGAUAAUUCAGCAUGAAUCCCUGGCUAGUUAUGAAGAAUGGUCUCCAAGCAUUUUAAUUGCAAUACUAAAAGUGAAGGCAAAGUAAACUCAGAAAAAGAAAAAAGUGCAAAAGUAAAUAAGAAGCUCCGGAUGUCAGAGCACAGCAGCGUCACAGAUGGGGAUGUGGACCCCCAGCAUGGCUUAUAUAUGCUGGUCCUGCUGGUCUUGGUCUUCUUUGUCAUGGGUCUUGCGGGCUUUCUUAUUUGCCAUAUCCUAAAGAAAAAGGGAUACCGCUGUCGGACAUUCAGUAAUGAACUUGACUCUGACAACAAGGAAUCACUGACACAACUCCAAGAUGAUGAGGAUGAGGAUCUGAAUGAAGAUACUGUAGAAAAAAUAGUGAAAUGUAUAAUUCAAAAUGAAGCAAAUGUUGAAGUUCUAAAAGAAAUGCUGGGAGAAAGUGAUGCUGAUUUCCCAGUGCCAGUGCCUGUGCCCAGUGCUCUAUGUCCACAUCGUAGCAGCCAAGAUGGUGGCAUUCCUCAUCACCACACAGUGCACUUAGGCUCAACACAAGCACCUUGCAUUCAUUGCAGCAAGAAAAAGAGACCUCCCUUACAUCAUCAGGGCCGGUCAAAAGAGAGCAAAAGCAAGAUGCACCCUGGAGAAACAACAGUCUUUUCAGUUGGCAGAUUUCAUGUCACCCAUAUUGAAAAAACCCCCACUUCCCAUGAAUCUCAGGAGGAAUCUUUUCAUGAGAACAAGCUGGAUGUAGCUGAUACAGACCAGGAGACUUAUAGCAAUAAGAAACUUCAGUGGAUUGGGUCACGAAAUGGAAUUGUUCAUACAGAUGGAGUACAGGAAAAAUUUUUAUCUCAGUCAGCUUCUGAAAGCCCACCAAAGGAGACUACUGCAGAUGGUUUAACUCGAUCAGAGACUUAUUUAAAUUUAACAGCCAAUACAAAUAUAGUCAUAAAUGAAACAAAGGGAGGACACCCCAAGGCACAAAGUUCUUCACAAGAAGCAAUAAACUCUGCCAUUAGUUAUGUAACUGAAACUAACUCCACUUUAGGACACAAAGACCUUUCAUCAGAAGAGCUAGAGGAGGAUAAAAAAGCUGAACAGAUGGGCCAUCAGAGAGCAGCUUAUGAAGUAUCAGACAACAAACAAGGACAAGUUCUUUCAAUAGGAUCCAAACUCGAAAUGUGCCCAGUAGAGCAAGUGGCACAAAACAUCAGGUAGUUACUUCUAAUUUCCUUUUUGUUUUCUCCUAUGUACAUCUAGAAAUUCACAAUCUGCAUUUUUGUUCUUUCAGUACAUAAAGCCGUUAGAAAAAUAUGAAUCAAACAUUGAUUCACACAACAGUUCUAAACUUAUACAGUGUGCUGUGGCCAUUGAAAAAGCUGGGACUGUGUAGCACAAAUUCCUUUGUGAAAAUGGUGAAAUGAGGGCAACAUCUUUAGGGAAAUUGAAAUGCCAAAUAAGUAUACCUUUUUAAGAAUUGUGGAACUUCAAAUACACAAAUUUCAGUGACUACUGAAUAGUUUCUUGGUAUGCUACUCUCUUGUUGACUUGUAGCUGAUGCUCUCUUGGGACGAAUAAUACGAAAAAGAUCCUGAAAGCAAUAUGAAGAGACUACUGUAGGCAGGAAAGAGAAAAAGAGCACAGAUGAUAUUCUUAUCUGAUGGAAGGUCAACUGUUGGCUCAAAGGAGGGUACCACAGAGAGAACUUUGGAUUUGGGGACCAUGUUUUACAAUACCUACAAAAAGGCCUUCUGGCAGGGGAUGGACUACAAUCCACAAGAACUGGGAAUAAUGUGUUUGGGAAACAGUUGGCUUAGCUUAUCCAAGGGCUUUAAACUAAAACUGGAAGGGGAGGGAGACAAAUCUUCAGGAAACAUAAACCCCACAAUAACCAAUCAAACAAGAAGGAAAGGAGUGGCAAGAAGGAAGAGGAACUCAGGUACAAAACAGGAGAAAUAGGAAGCAAAUACAAGGUCAGGUCUCCUUAAGGUAUAAAGGACUCAGAUGCCUAUACAUUAUUCCUCAAAGUAUGGGGAACAAACAGAGUGUACCUGAAAUCCAGAAAAGAAACAAUGGUCCUACCAACUGCACGGUCAGGGUUGCUAAGGAGAGAGAGCCACAUGGAAUGGACUUCGGGCUUGCAGGGAUGAAGUUGCUACAUUAAAGUAGACUAGUCCUGGCUGGAAAAGCUAUUCUCUACUUGGCAUGGUCAGACCAUCAAAAGGACAUACUAUUGUCAUCAGUAAGGCUGGCAAGUUCCAUAUUCCCAUUACAUUCUCUGUGCAAAAGCAGAACAAUAAUCACGGACAGGAGCAUGUUGUAAAAAAAACCCAAUCAUUAGUGGAAAUCCAAGCCUCUCCGUACUCUUGAAAACUUUGCUAAAGUCAAUCUUUGACUAAUAUGUGUCUUUUAAGAGAACAGGAUGUAUAAGCAUGCCUUUCCUGAUAAGAAUUCUACUCUUCACCAUACUGAAGUUCAGUAUGUGGUACUUGCAACAAACCCAGUCUCGUAGACUAAAGCUUCAAUGAUUAACAAUAGAAAGUAACUAACAAAUUAUUCUAGCUCAUAGCAGUUGUUGGCAUUCAUCUCCCACACAAAUGUUUCCCUAGCAGCUCUGGCUGGCAUACUUCUGAAUCACCAUGGUCUUGUUUCUUUCAGAGGGCAAACCACAUCCUCCAGAUCCCAAGAGAACUCAGCCAUGUAGGGAAUGAAUAGGGAAAAAAGUUCUGGGUCCUUCGCUUGUGUAGUGACUCAGAUAAACAGCUAAAUUAUUUAGAGUUGUGUGCAUACCUGUGCCCAUUUUAACUUUGAAAUACAGUGACUCUGAGGUCUUUAUUAAAGUGGUAUUUGACUUGUAAGUGCUGUAUACCCAGGAGCAAUGGAGUUGCCAAGCAUUGAACAAAUCUUGCUAUUUAGGAACUGCAUUUUCUUUAUUGAGUGCAGAUCUGUCUCAGCCCAGGGGAAAAGCACUUUUUCUAGGAAUGCAAUAAAGAAAAAGGCAUUUCCCUACCUAAUGGUAGGAAAACAGUAUUCUAAGUACAGUAUACUCUUCUUGUUUUCACAAAUCUAUAACUCCCAUAACAUAGUCAAGCAGCAACUUGCUUUGAGCUUUUUCAUUGUAGUGUUAAUUGCAAAAGGUGUGGACAUGUACACAUGACAGAUACUUUUGCUCAGUAAAAAAAAAAACUUAUAGGUUCACAUGAAAAUUCUGGAUAGGUUUUUCUUUCUAGAAAUAGAGACUUGAAUCUGAAUGUUGGGAUCAACUAAAUCCUUUAAAACUUUCGUAUCAUGCUCUUCUGUAAAUGUUAAUUAAAAAGCCAUAACAAAUCCUA